GACGAACGCUGGCGGCGUGCUUAACACAUGCAAGUCGAACGGAAAGGCCCUGCUUUUGUGGGGUGCUCGAGUGGCGAACGGGUGAGUAACACGUGAGUAACCUGCCCUUGACUUUGGGAUAACUUCGGGAAACUGGGGCUAAUACCGGAUAGGAGCUCCUGCUGCAUGGUGGGGGUUGGAAAGUUUCGGCGGUUGGGGAUGGACUCGCGGCUUAUCAGCUUGUUGGUGUGGUAGUGGCUUACCAAGGCUUUGACGGGUAGCCGGCCUGAGAGGGUGACCGGCCACAUUGGGACUGAGAUACGGACCAGACUCCUACGGGAGGCAGCAGUGGGGAAUAUUGCACAAUGGGCGGAAGCCUGAUGCAGCAACGCCGCGUGCGGGAUGACGGCCUUCGGGUUGUAAACCGCUUUCGCCUGUGACGAAGCGUGAGUGACGGUAAUGGGUAAAGAAGCACCGGCUAACUACGUG
rnacentral:rRNA from 1 species